CCUACGGGAGGCAGCAGUGGGGAAUUUUGGACAAUGGGGGCAACCCUGAUCCAGCAAUGCCGCGUGAGUGAAGAAGGCCUUCGGGUUGUAAAGCUCUUUUGUCAGGGAAGAAAAGGCUGUGGCUAAUAUCUACGGCUCAUGACGGUACCUGAAGAAUAAGCACCGGCUAACUACGUGCCAGCAGCCGCGGUAAUACGUAGGGUGCAAGCGUUAAUCGGAAUUACUGGGCGUAAAGCGUGCGCAGGCGGUUUUGUAAGACUGUCGUGAAAUCCCCGGGCUCAACCUGGGAAUGGCGAUGGUGACUGCAAGGCUAGAGUUUGGCAGAGGGGGGUAGAAUUCCACGUGUAGCAGUGAAAUGCGUAGAUAUGUGGAGGAACACCGAUGGCGAAGGCAGCCCCCUGGGUCAAAACUGACGCUCAUGCACGAAAGCGUGGGGAGCAAACAGGAUUAGAUACCCUGGUAGUCCACGCCCUAAACGAUGUCUACUAGUUGUCGGGUCUUAAUUGACUUGGUAACGCAGCUAACGCGUGAAGUAGACCGCCUGGGGAGUACGGUCGCAAGAUUAAAACUCAAAGGAAUUGACCGGNNGAGAGNGCGAGACGACGACGAGGGAGAGG
rnacentral:rRNA from 1 species